GCCCUGGUGGUAUAAUGGUUAAGCACUCAGCUGCUAACUGAAAUGUUGGUGGUUUGAACCUACCCAGUGGCU
rnacentral:tRNA from 1 species